CUUGUUGGAGGACUACAGGAGGAGGAAGGCUUGCCUGUUUAUUUCAAGUGCGAAUUUGGCAGCCAACUCUGGAUCCCUACCUCUGCGGUGCCUAGAAGAAAAUAUGGCUGUCUUCUUGUUUGCCAGGGCUACCCAAGGUCAGUCUUCAUCUGCUGCCUGAGCUCCUUUCCGAGCCUCUGGAUGAGCUUGUCCUGGAUAUCUCCACUUCAACCAUUCUCCACACGCAGGUCAAAGAAUAUCCUAUUACCCAUCCAUACAGCCCAUACACCUCCCCAAGUUCUGGCAAAUGGGAUCAUAUAGUACUACCCGGAGCCCUACAUUUAUUGCUGGUUUUGACAUUUCAUAUGGACGAGAAGAAGCUGUGCCUCAGGAACCCUAGACAUGGAUGGACUACUUAGUCUAUUGGCAUCCAUGUAAUGCAGUACCAGGCCUUAAUUGACCAUGAACUCUCCUAGAGCAUGCAAAAGCAACUGUAUCAUCGUGGGUCAUCUAAGAAGACACAGAGGUUCUUCGUCUUCCUCCGGGGCUCCACGGUCUCUGAUGAGAAGGCCCCAUCUUUCUAAUUGUUUUAGGCAUAUCAAUA
ensembl:lncRNA LOC102547109 uncharacterized LOC102547109